rnacentral:rRNA from 1 species
AGAGUUUGAUCAUGGCUCAGAUUGAACGCUGGCGGAAUGCUUUACACAUGCANGUCGAACGGCAGCACGGGAGCUUGCUCCUGGUGGCGAGUGGCGAACGGGUGAGUAAUGCGUCGGAACGUACCGAGUAAUGGGGGAUAACGCAGCGAAAGCUGUGCUAAUACCGCAUACGCCCUGAGGGGGAAAGUGGGGGAUCGCAAGACCUCACGUUAUUCGAGCGGCCGACGUCUGAUUAGCUAGUUGGUGGGGUAAUGGCCUACCAAGGCGACGAUCAGUAGCGGGUCUGAGAGGAUGAUCCGCCACACUGGAACUGAGACACGGUCCAGACUCCUACGGGAGGCAGCAGUGGGGAAUUUUGGACAAUGGGGGCAACCCUGAUCCAGCCAUUCCGCGUGAGUGAAGAAGGCCUUCGGGUUGUAAAGCUCUUUCAGCUGGAACGAAACGGUGCGCUCUAACAUAGCGUGCUAAUGACGGUACCAGCAGAAGAAGCACCGGCUAACUACGUGCCAGCAGCCGCGGUAAUACGUAGGGUGCGAGCGUUAAUCGGAAUUACUGGGCGUAAAGCGUGCGCAGGCGGAUUGUUAAGCAAGAUGUGAAAUCCCCGGGCUUAACCUGGGAAUGGCAUUUUGAACUGGCAGUCUAGAGUGCGUCAGAGGGGGGUGGAAUUCCACGUGUAGCAGUGAAAUGCGUAGAGAUGUGGAGGAACACCAAUGGCGAAGGCAGCCCCCUGGGAUGACACUGACGCUCAUGUACGAAAGCGUGGGUAGCAAACAGGAUUAGAUACCCUGGUAGUCCACGCCCUAAACGAUGUCAACUGGUUGUUGGGGGAGUGAAAUCCCUUAGUAACGAAGCUAACGCGUGAAGUUGACCGCCUGGGGAGUACGGUCGCAAGAUUAAAACUCAAAGGAAUUGACGGGGACCCGCACAAGCGGUGGAUGAUGUGGAUUAAUUCGAUGCAACGCGAAAAACCUUACCUACCCUUGACAUGUCCGGAAUCCUGCAGAGAUGCGGGAGUGCCCGAAAGGGAAUCGGAACACAGGUGCUGCAUGGCUGUCGUCAGCUCGUGUCGUGAGAUGUUGGGUUAAGCCCCGCAACGAGCGCAACCCUUAUCAUUAGUUGCUACGCAAGGGCACUCUAAUGAGACUGCCGGUGACAAACCGGAGGAAGGUGGGGAUGACGUCAAGUCAUCAUGGCCCUUACGGCCAGGGCUACACACGUACUACAAUGGUGGUGACAGAGAGCAGCGACCUGGCGACAGGUAGCCAAUCUCAAAAAACCAUCUCAGUUCAGAUUGCACUCUGCAACUCGGGUGCAUGAAGGUGGAAUCGCUAGUAAUCGCAGAACAGCAGGCUGCGGUGAAUACGUUCCCGGGCCUUGUACACACCGCCCGUCACACCAUGGGAGUUGGUUCGGCCUUAAGACGGUGCGCUAACCCGCAAGGGAGGCAGCCGGCCACGGCCGGGUCAGCGACUGGGGUGAAGUCGUAANCAAGGUACC